rnacentral:tRNA from 2 species
AGGAAGUUAGCUCAAUUGGUUAGAGCGAUCGACUCAUAAUCGAUGUGUUGUAGGUUCGAUUCCUAUACUUUCACCCA